GAUGAACGCUGGCGGCGUGCCUAAUACAUGCAAGUCGAGCGAACAGACGAGGAACUUGCUCCUCUGACGUUAGCGGCGGACGGGUGAGUAACACGUGGAUAACCUACCUAUAAGACUGGGAUAACUUCGGGAAACCGGAGCUAAUACCGGAUAAUAUAUUGAACCGCAAGGUUCAAUAGUGAAAGACGGUUUUGCUGUCACUUAUAGAUGGAUCCGCGCCGCAUUAGCUAGUUGGUAAGGUAACGGCUUACCAAGGCAACGAUGCGUAGCCGACCUGAGAGGGUGAUCGGCCACACUGGAACUGAGACACGGUCCAGACUCCUACGGGAGGCAGCAGUAGGGAAUAUUGCGCAAUGGGCGAAAGCUUGACGGAGCAACGCCGCGUGUAUGAUGAAGGUCUUCGGAUCGUAAAGCUCUUUUAUUGGGGAGGAACAAAUUUGUAAUUAACUAUGCACUUCUUGACGGUACCUAAUGAGAAAGCCACGGCUAACUACGUG
rnacentral:rRNA from 1 species